GACGAACGCUGGCGGCGUGCCUAAUACAUGCAAGUCGAACGGGCUUAUUCGAGUAGCUUGCUAUUUGGAUAAGUCAGCGGCGGACGGGUGAGUAACACGUGGGUAAUCUGCCUCGUAGUCUGGGAUAACAAGCCGAAAGGUUUGCUAAUACCGGAUGAGUUCAUGUUAUUGCAUAGUGACAUGAAGAAAGGGGAGACCCGCUAUGAGAUGAGCCCGCGUCCCAUUAGCUAGUUGGUGGGGUAAAGGCCUACCAAGGCGACGAUGGGUAGCCGGCCUGAGAGGAUGAUCAGCCACACUGGGACUGAGACACGGCCCAGACUCCUACGGGAGGCAGCAGUGGGGAAUAUUGGACAAUGGGCGCAAGCCUGAUCCAGCCAUGCCGCGUGUGUGAUGAAGGCCUUAGGGUUGUAAAGCACUUUCACCGAUGAAGAUAAUGACGGUAGUCGGAGAAGAAGCCCCGGCUAACUUCGUGCCAGCAGCCGAC
rnacentral:rRNA from 1 species